rnacentral:rRNA from 1 species
UACAGAGGUCCCAAGCGUUGUUCGGAUUUACUGGGCGUAAAGGGCGCGUAGGCGGCCACCGCAAGUCGACUGUGAAAUCUCCGGGCUUAACCCGGAAAGGUCAGCCGAUACUGCGGGGCUAGAGUGCAGAAGGGGCAACUGGAAUUCUCGGUGUAGCGGUGAAAUGCGUAGAUAUCGAGAGGAACACCUGCGGCGAAGGCGGGUUGCUGGGCUGACACUGACGCUGAUGUGCGAAAGCUAGGGGAGCGAACGGG